AGAAACUCAUUUUUUAUCAAGAUUCUUAAAUGAUUUUGGAGAAGUUGAUAGAAGGAAAAAGCUUGUUCUUGCUCUUAUGAUUCUAGUGACACUAGCUAAGGUAACAAAUCACCAAUUUAUCUCUCUCUUUCCUUGGCCGAAAACUAGAGUGAAAUAGGAAGAGGUUUUAUUUCAAUUUUUGUCUUGGUUAAUAUUAUAGAUCCAUGCCUUGUAGUAUUAGAGUUAGAAGGAAAAUUGUCAUUUGAAUUAAUUGUUAUAAUGAUAAAAAAAAAUAUGGUGUUAAGUUUUGAUUUGCUUACUCAUUUCUUUUGAGAAAAUUUGUUGUGUGAGUUUAGGUGUUUUAUAUCCAAAAGAAUUUAAUUGUUUUGAACAAUUGAAAAGUGUAGAGAUUUUGGAAAAAAUGUCGAACGGCCAUUUUUAUUUGAGGAACGUGUUUAUAUCGAGUAGGUAUUUUAACGUGUCGGUUUAGU
rnacentral:lncRNA from 1 species